AUGGGUGGAAAGAGAGGCGAUUGUGUCCAUCACAGGCCAUCUGCAAUUGAAAGUCUUUUUUGCUUUAAUGCAGACCCCCCUCUAAGUGCUCAACAAAAGAAAUGUGAAAAUUGUUGGUGUAAAUCUCGUUACAAGUCUGCAUGUUUCGUACAGUUGUAUGAAUGUGCAAGUUCGUGGGUUUACUGCAGACAUGUGUUUGUGAGUUUAAGUCUAUUUUUAGAGAGCUGUGCUAGACGCAAGUUGUCUUUGUUUUCACAUAUGAAUACUCAAUAUAAGCGCGUGUAUGCUAGACGUGAAAUUCAUGUUUAUAGUGCUUUUGUGCCAUGUGUGAUAUAA
rnacentral:rRNA from 1 species